rnacentral:tRNA from 1 species
GCCCUCUUCGUCUAAUGGUCAGGACGCCGACCUUACAAGUCGGAGACGUGGGUCCGAUCCCCACAGAGGGCACCA